UAGGGAAUCUUCGGCAAUGGACGAAAGUCUGACCGAGCAACGCCGCGUGAGUGAAGAAGGUUUUCGGAUCGUAAAACUCUGUUGUUAGAGAAGAACAAGGACGUUAGUAACUGAACGUCCCCUGACGGUAUCAAACCAGAAAGCCACGGCUAACUACGUGCCAGCAGCCGCGGUAAUACGUAGGUGGCAAGCGUUGUCCGGAUUUAUUGGGCGUAAAGCGAGCGCAGGCGGUUUCUUAAGUCUGAUGUGAAAGCCCCCGGCUCAACCGGGGAGGGUCAUUGGAAACUGGGAGACUUGAGUGCAGAAGAGGAGAGUGGAAUUCCAUGUGUAGCGGUGAAAUGCGUAGAUAUAUGGAGGAACACCAGUGGCGAAGGCGGCUCUCUGGUCUGUAACUGACGCUGAGGCUCGAAAGCGGGGGGAGCAAACAGG
rnacentral:rRNA from 1 species